CCUACGGGAGGCAGCAGUGGGGAAUAUUGCACAAUGGGCGCAAGCCUGAUGCAGCCAUGCCGCGUGUAUGAAGAAGGCCUUCGGGUUGUAAAGUACUUUCAGCGAGGAGGAAGGCGUUGUGGUUAAUAACCGCAGCGAUUGACGUUACUCGCAGAAGAAGCACCGGCUAACUCCGUGCCAGCAGCCGCGGUAAU
rnacentral:rRNA from 1 species